AAGUCGUAACAAGGUUUCCGUAGGUGAACCUGCGGAAGGAUCAUUACUGAAGAUUAUAGGGUUUGGGAAUGCGUCAAAAUGGCGUAUGCUCAACCCUUACUCUUUCAUCCACACACACCUUUGUGCACCAUGGGAACGUUAAGUUCCCCUUUUCACAUAAAUACCAAGUUAUAUGCAUGUUUUGAUACACUCUACGGAGUAAUGUACAACUUUCAACAACGGAUCUCUUGGCUUUC
rnacentral:misc_RNA from 1 species